rnacentral:sRNA from 1 species
CACAAUUCCUCUUCAUCCUUCCUGCCCAGGCGAUUUUAAAAAACAAAUGUCACCCAUUCAUGGACAACCAUAUAUUACCAAUAACAUGUCAAGACUACAAUAUCAUACAUAUCAACAAAUUUCAGGUGUAUCAUACUCAAGACGACACCAGUCCAAUCUCUGUGCAAAUUAGCAUUCUCCUCAUCUACUAUGUAGAUAAAUAAAUAUCUAUUACAAAAAAUCAUGGAAUAGCAUUACAAACAAUGAACUACGGUUCUUCACUCCAAGAAAGUUUUAAUCCACACGUCCACCACCAUCAUAUCCGUCUUCGGCAAGAAGCGACAUUUUUUUGAAGGCAAGGCAAAUGCUAACGAGUUAUAAGGACACUUGUUAAGGAUCGAAAAAUUAAAGUACUGUAUUAUAUUAAUUGUUGUGCAUUUCACCAUAUAUAUUUUGCUACUUUUUAUUGUUAACAAGUGUCCUUGCACUUGUUAGCAUAACUCAUUUCAAAACAAAUAAACUCGCAUAAGCCUGCAAUCAGAAGUUUUGAAAGUAUUAUGACAUAAUUACCAUAUACGCGAGCUUAAAAGAAGAUCACCCCCUUCAAACUCAAAAUAUUUAGGUGGCAAUGCACGAGAUCCACCUAGUAGGGUGUGUGGAGAGGAUAGAUGUACGCAACAUCACCACUACAAGUAGAUAGAUGGGUUAUUUUCAUGAUUUGAACCUAAGAAGCACAAAUAAAAAACCUCGCGAUUGAGCUAAGAUUCCCAUAAAACCCUAUAAUAGUUAAUAAUCCAACAAAUAAAUGAAGACAUCGUAACAGGAUUACUUCUAAACAAGCAAUUAUAUGUCACUUCUAGUUCUUACAUUAAAAAAGGAGGAAAAAACCCUUUUGGUCCCUUGUGUUCUUUAUUCAAUUUGAUUCCUUGUUUUCCUUUUAUCAAAUGAAUUCUUACGUUUACAAGCUUUAAUGUUUGCCAAAAUGUCACUUUCCAUCAAAUGUCCUUACUAAUGUGCACACAUGCCUGUUAACUCCUGAAUUACAAUGAUUGUAUGACUUGGGUGUUGUAAAGAUGUUAAGAUUGGCCCUUAUGUUGGCCCUUAUGAGUUGGGUUUAGAGCUUGAUAGUUGUGUUAAGUUGGAACAGUAACAAGAUGAGCUUAGAAGGAAGAAUAACAGUAUUCACUGUGGUAGGAGAACAACACUCAGGUAAGUGCAGUUCAGGAGAUGGGAAGGUGAUGAGGAAAGUCACGAGCUACGGUGGUUUCAAUUAGCAGCUUUGGUAGCUUCAAUGGUUUCGAGAGUAACAUUACCCAACUCAAUUCUAUGGUUUACACUUUUCCACCACUACAUUCUGAUUCAUGCUCUAUUUUGCAACUACAACUUUAACACAAGGUCCAUAUGAUCUAGUGGCCACACCUAUGUUGAGACUUAGUUUAGAUUCACAGAAAUGUUUUUCAACAUCUAUUGUUGUUGUGUUGCAUUGGAAGAAAUGGUAUAGGGAAAACAUUUCGUCUGCCACUGGUUUCUCUAUUCUAUCAUCGCCUUUGCCCAAGUAGUUUAUCCCUAAAAUCUGUAUGUACAAUAAUCAAAUAAAGAUCCCAUAUAUAGUUUGACAACCAUGUGCAACAAAGCUAAGAGCUCUCUGAUAAUGGCAUUUCACAAGCUGGUUCUGUAAUGAUGGUUUCAGUUGUUUAUGGUACUUUUUGAACAAAUGACGAUGGCUGCCUUGGUGGACUGGGUAUGUGACAAUAAAAGCUAACAUAAUACAGAAUCAAACCCUUACAUGUGCUAAGAGGUUGUUUCUAUACUCAGACCCACAGCCAAUCCCAAGGUCCCAGAUAGAGUAAUAUGAGAUGUUAACAAUUAAAUUUUAAGGGAGGGUUCUCCAAGUGCUUGGUUGUUUAUUAGUCUAUCUGAGUGGAUCACCAGUUCAACUCGUUGAAUCUUGAGCCUGAGAGCAUAAUUCAAGGCUGUGUUUGAGUACAUGAGAUUAAGUGAGGUAGACAAAAGUUAUACUCAAAAGGUCACGACAGAAGGAGUGCAGUAGAAAGGCAAAAAGGUACAAAUAUAUGCGCACAUUAGCAAUGCGACUGAAUGCGGGGAGAUGUUCGGAAGUGACUAAGUAUAUAUUGAUAGUAUUAAAUGUUUAAUAGGAAAUUAUAGUAGGGAUAUAUUGAUAGUAUUAAAUGUUACACUUUCAAAUAAUUUUUUUCGCUUGGGGGUGUUUACAUUUU